UUUUAACCUAAUCCUCGUCUGAGCUGCGUUUUUGUUGCUGGCAGUUUCUUGCAGCCUUGUCAACCUAGCUGCUAGCUUACUGGUAGCUAAGGCUACAUGCUAACGGGGUGCUUUGGAUUUUAUUGAUUGGGACAUGUAACAGGAUCCUCAUCAUCUCGCGCCUCCUGACGUCCAGUUGACGUAACUCAACUUUCAGACAACUUUCCUGAAUGACUGAGAAUCUUCACCCGCCAAAACAUGCAAUGUCACAUUCCACAUGUUUCCUGCUGAGACAAAGACGCAGCUCUUCUACCAGGGCCUAGAUAACUCCACCUGACACCUGACACCGAGCAUGAGCUCCCACCGGGAGACUCGGAGCUCCUGUGACUGUGAAGUCUGACUGGGCGCUGGAGUGGCCUUGGGCACUGACAGAAGCCAUGGGGAAACAGUUGGGGGAGCCUGAAGGGCUACAGGCCCAUGAGCAUCAGCGGUCUACAAUUUCAAAGGAUCUCUCGGUAGCCAUGGAAACUGGAGAAAACUCUUCAUCAUGAAAAGCUCACAUUUCUUGAUAACAUCUUGACUCAACCAAUCAUCUGAGAUGCACACGAGACAGGAAAGCUGAAGGAAAGAACAACCAGUCACGGUUCUGACCAUGAGACCAAAUGAAGGCAGACUCCUCUGGGCUUGCGGGGCCCCGAGGAGAGCGGAGAUGGAGUCAAAUGGAAAGGACAAGGGCACAUAAUAAAGACAAAUGGCUCGAGCAUGAAAUUUGAUUCAUUGCCUUGGCUGUGCCGUGUGAACGCAGGAUGAAGUCCGAGCAGCUCAACGAGUAACGAGGCCAACAGGAACGAGGCCACGUGGGAAAGCGCCCGCUCCUCCCUCAGGCGCGAAGUGAACUGACGAGCAGGUGCAUUCAUCAGGACGUCGCAGAUGUGCUGCCUGACGACGAACAGUAGACGCUGACUCUUCACGCUUGAUGACGUUUCCCUCCAUGAUGUGCUGACAACCUCCUCCACUGUCCGAGAAAAAUAGCGAUGGCAGACCUGUACAAGGCCUCUCAUCCCGCCGCCAAGCGAACAUCCGGAUACUGUACAGCAGCUCCAUAAUAUGGUGUCAAGCACAAGUGCUGCUGUCUGGUGUGCGCCGCUUCAUCCUCCCCUUGGGGAUGCUUCUAAGGAGAGUACACAGCAAUUAUCCACGGACGGCGAAGUGAAAGGAGGAGCGCGGAGCGGCACGGUGACAACAACAGCAUUGGGGAACGCAUUCAUCAUACUUUCACCUCAUUAUGCAUAGUUAUCCAUCCAUUACGGUACUUAUCCCGAGCAGGCCUGUAGUAACACCGGAGCACGGUGGCCCCAGGUUGCCUCCUUAACGUGAGGGUCUCACAGUGACCUGAGACCGUUUAGCGUUCACCUGUUCAGCCGAAGGCGCUCGCGUCACGUGAGCAGCCACCGUCCUCUCUACGAAAGGCUCGAUAGAGAAACAGGAAGAAACAUAUAUCGGGUCUGAUCAGUGAUGUCUAGAAAAAACCCCACACCUUAAGUUUGACUUUUUGAUGAGUGGCCUGCUUCAGCUUGUGCUUCAUUUUGGCUACUUGCUGUACUUUUGGUGAGUUUCGGGUCUUCCACACCUCGUUACGCCACGUCUGGUUAUCUACGACGCCUCCACCGCCCGAUGCAGAGGCUGACUUACUGCAGGCUCUCAGCGUACAGUCGGAAAGGGAAGGAAAAACAAAGCCACGUACGAGCUGAAUGCUUUUUACAAAGGUUGCCUCAGAGUAGCACAUCAAUUGUGACAACGCCAUGGUCCAACUGCGCAUGUAAUUGAAACAAUCGAUUGCAAUUUCAUAAACACAAAUGUGCAUAAAGCACAGGAGCGGUAAAGUGAGCUUCUUUUGGUUGACUGAUCAGAAACGCACGCCUAUCAAUCUCCCUGUCUCCCCCCCAAAGGCUUGUUUAUUGUUUUCCCAUUGAAUGCAGAAUAGGGAGGCAUCGCAGGUCCUCUGUCAUCUCCACCAUGGGCAGUCUCCGACUCACGAUCGCUUAUCUGGCUUUAACAGAACCAAGCGUCUUUUAAUACGGGCUCAAAAUAUGUCCCGAAUGGCUUGCUGGAUUGAAACCAUCACGGGGGAAAAUGCCGCUGAGCACCUGGACGUGGGCCGUGCGAGACCACCAGACGUGAGCAACAAGCCCGUGCACGAGCACUUCACAAAUGUCCCAUAAAAACGCUAAACGCUAACAUGCGUGAGCAUUCUGUCCAUCUGUGGAAACCCUCCCAGCUCCUGCAGCAGUCGGUCGGCAUGGACUUGUUUGUCUUCCUGGCUUUUCUCAGUAUUUGACUCUCCUCUGCUAAACCCAUGCGUCUGUUUUUCUCUUUCUCCCCCUGUGCUUCCUGGUGUUAAAUUAGAUGGGAAUAGCUAAUGAGAACAUUUCAUGCCAGAAGCAUUAGUUACAAUGAUAAUUAAUGUCCAUUGUCUUUUGGAUCAGCUGAAUAUUAGGCAUGAAGCGGAAUUAUCUCCCUGUAUCAAAUCACAUUAAUCAACAUUUGGAGCCACCUGCUAAUCACACUAAUGUGCUCCCUAUCCUGAAAAUUGGAAAAAGUAGCAGCAUGACUGCAUAAGAUGCUCCUGUAAUCAAACGUGAUGGAGCCGCGUGUGCAAAGCUGAUUCCUGAACAAAGGAAGAUUUGUCAACAGAGGAAGAGGAGCUGAAUGAAGCCCGAACUGUUUGUGUUGUUAUGGUUUUGAAGCAGUUUUUCUAUUGGUUUAUUAUGAAAAUCAGUUUCAACCCCAUUUUCUCCAUCUAUUGAGUGCUGCAGGCCCAGUGACGGUCCUGUACUGUAACACUGCUCCGGCCUGCGGUUAACUGGUCGACCGGGCUCCUGUGAUGUGGACAGGUAUCAGCCACGAACAAGCUAAAUGUAAACAUCUUGUGUUCUGCUGCUGGAACCUGAGACUCGGAGAGCGACGACCUCUUUCUGUACCAACCUUCACGCUCGGCAAUCACACGGGAAGAAAUCCAUUACAGAUGGAGAGGAAGCGUUUGAGUAAUGGGUGCAUCUCACCCUUUCCGUGACCUGAAAAAAUUCUCACUUUAUUACUUUUACUCUUUUAUUUUCACUCCUCUCAACCACUUAGAUUGAAUAAAAGUUCUGCUCUGUUCUCGGGCCGCGUCGGAGCUCAUAGUGGAACGUAUCAAAUAAAUCCAGCAGACAAUAAGAGGGCGAUGGGAGAAGAUGGGGUACAUGACCUGGCAUGAAACCAUGCACUAAAAGGCUCAGAAUUAGAUACAUUACUGUACCUUGUGUCUGAUUCUCAUAUUUCGGCUGGUCGCGUGACCGUCGGCGGCGGCGGCGGUGGAUUCUUGAACUGCUGCCACUUCUCCCCACCAGCAGGAAUCCUCCCAGAUUCCACUCGGCUCCAGGACCCUGAUUAAAAAAGCCAAAUGUCAGCCAAAGCACACUCUGCAGCUGCUAGCAGAUUUACAGCACUUUUAUUCUAUUUGCGUUACAGCAUGUUAUCGGGCGGAUUAAAGUGAAUUGAUGUGUGAUGUACUGUAGGUAACGAUGCUGAGCCAGAGGCUUCAUUGUAUAUCACAGAAUCCCAGGUUGUGGCUGAGGACAGUGUUUGCGCUGUGACGUGGGAGUAAUAAUAGAGGAUUUGGAGGAACAGCAGUAUUAUUUUGGACUUAUUGAUUUUUUUGACUGCCACUGGCAAUGUCAGACAAGUAAGACAGGAGUUUCACCCCUGACUGUGUUUGUUUUUUUUGCAGAAAGUAUUAGAGCUUCUCCAGCAGCCUUAAUGGCACACUCGCUCAGACUCUGUUCUCUGGUAAUACUUUUAGAUAUUUUAGGCUAACUUCAGACCUCGGCUGCUUUCAUUGCCCACCGGCUGUGUUUUGUUGCCAGUUCAAUUUACAUGUCAUGCAUCUGGUACACAUUCUGACAAGUAUAAAAAUUGCAUGGCUCUGUCAAAACCUGGGGCUUUGCACUGGAAAGCUUGGCGAGGAGCUCUCCUAAUUUCUCUUCCUUAUCCAAUCCCUCCCCUUUCUGGAUCACUGCACACGUACGGCGGUGCAUUAAGAACCAGUGCCCACUCACAGGCCCCUGGUGCCUUUUCUCCUCCUUUUUCUUUAUCUGAUCUCUGGAAUAAUCCAUGCAAAUUUCCACCAUUGCACCGUGCCCCCUGUCCCAUUUUAAGUUGACAACCUUUAAAAAAUAUCGUCUCACUGACUUUUACUACAGCACAAUUUAAGAGAGCGAUAACUGUACACACUGUCCAGUAGACUUUUAUUGCACCUAAUUGUUUUUGCUUGUGUGCUACAGCAAGUUAUACAUAAAGCAGUGAGAUGUUGCCAUUCUAGCUGCAUGCGAAGCCGUGCUCAGGCACACGCUCACAGAGCCACCGCUGCAGCCUCUUAGUCCUCUUUAAAUAUUACUAGUCAGCCUUGGAUUCCUGUUUACACAGGAACAUCGCCCAUAAAAUAUCAAUGAACUAUUACUUUCAAAUAUCCUUGAUCAUGUGAAAACUGCAGCAGUAAAUUAGCCGGCAUCAGCACUUCCACUCAGUGUCAGACCGAGAGGCUGCAAAAUACAUCAUCGCAGAGCUUCAAUGGGCCGUAGGCUGAAUUACAGGGUUUCUCCUCAGCUCCUUCUCUGGCCGGAGCGGAGGCUUCUGCUGAGGUCAUGAACUGCACAGCAACAGUCGCUUGCAUAUCUUGUGCUUACGGUAAAGCUAAUCAGCCUGUAAUCACCCUAAGAGCCUGUCGAGCCGUUGAGCGAGCGCUGCGGGGGCUACCGGUCUCAUCGAUGUGACCGCGCGGCUGACGGACGUCUCGUUCCCUCACGUGUGCGCGACUUCGUCGGAACCUGCUGACUCAGACGUGAUCCACGUGAUGCUGCGCUCCGGGUCCUGAUCAGCGUGGACUAGGUGGAGUGAGAACAUGUCAGAUAGAUGAAGAUUAUAAGUAACUGUAGAUAGAUGCUACCUAAGGACCUGGUCUUGUUGUUUCUGCCAUUGAACCUCCCCGUUUCCGCCGCAUGUCCUCCCACUUCUUCUCAAUCGCAGAGUUGAGUUCCUAAACGCCCGUCCUAUGGAUUUCACAUCCGUCAAGUCUGUGAGUUGUUUUCGGUGUUCGGUGCCAAAUGGACGAACAACAUGAGCUAGUUUGAUGAACAGACUGAUAAGUCAGGCAUGAGUGACUCAUUUGUCCCAGAAGACUAGACAGCAUUAUGCUAACUGCUCAUUUGGCAGAGUCAGCUCAAUUGUGCUGCAAUGCAUUCUGUUGUUAUUCUCUGUAAACAUGUUAUCUCUUUAUUCCAGAGCUGCCGCUGUUUUGUGGAAGUAAACAGUUGUCCUGGAGCCUAUUAAAAUGCUCCGCAGCAAAAUGCAGUGAGUCAUUGUCAAGGUGUAUUUACUCUUCGUUUGUUGGAGAGAUAAAGCCAAAUUUUAAUAUCUGAAGUUUUAAAUACUCUUGUCGAGGCAGUAAAUAUUAAUGAGUAGAAAAACUGUGCGCAGCCUAUGUGCAGCUGUGGCAUUGUCCAUUAAAAUCACCCCAGAGACUAUUACAAUUUUGGUAAAUGAUGGAGUUUUUGUAAUGGAUUUAGGUUUUCUGUUGUGUGAAUGUAAACCAGCGCAGCGCGGACCCCAGCAACUUUAGUUAAUGAGGAGUUUCCAUACUGUGUUUGCAUGGGGUUAAAAGCUCCCAGCUUUAGGGAGUCGGGCUGCACGUUUGGCACAAGCGCAACGCAAACGGAGUUUACUCGAUGUCAACAGAGGCCUGCGGUGCUGCUGGGACCGGGCUCUUUUUAAAAUUACUCCUUACCGCCAAUUUUUCCUCCAUUACGCUGACAGAUUUACUCUGGUGAUUUAAUUCAGUCAAUUGGAAAGAGCAAUAAGAUCUACUCCAGCCAUGGGACAAAGGUCUGCAUCAUUCCUCUGCGCUAAGUCGACCAAAACAAUUAUACAAAUGACCUUUGAACACAUUAACUUAUUUACUUCAUUAGGUUAAGUGGCUCCUUGGAGCCACACGGCCGAAUAAUCUCCUCUUGCCUGACUUGGCCACUUCGGCAACGAGCUUCAUUUAAAGAAGACGCAUACGUGGAAAGGUCAAAAGUCAUCCAAUCGCAUAUAUCUGUCGCUCCAGUUGCCUUCAUUUGAAUACAGUCGCUGUGAAAUCUUACCUCGAUGUCAGCAAAAGCUUUUUAUUGUGAGACUCCAGCGAUGGAAAGGGGGAGUGCAGCAUUUUGGUGGAAAGUGGUUGGGAGUGAAUAUAGACUGUCACUGCUGGGAGAGCAAAAAGGCAACGAAAUGAGAGAAAACAGGUACAUCUCCCCCAGGUCUAUAAUCCUGAGAUUACUGUUUGCUCUGGGGCCUGUCUGACUGCACUCUGGGCCGCCUGUGCUUCACUUCUAAUCUCCUCGGCCCCAGCUGUCCAAGAAUUGAUUUGAAGAUUCUCUGAAUCAAUUACUCUCCUGUCCAAGGUCUCAUUGCCUGAGAGAUACACUCACAAAUGUACACACACACACGUGCAACACGAGCAAAACAAAUGCAGGGGGAAACAGACACACAACCCAUUCAUCUCUGUGCAGUAAAGUCUCACGUGCAGAGGCUAAUUGUGCCUUGAAUCACACCUUGUACGUCUCUGUGGUGCAUUAUGGGUAGGUAGCCUCUAACUGCUCUCAAAUCAGCUUCAUUGCUGAUUAAUUUGUCUGCUUUGUCCAU